UGAUCGGAUGUGUAACUUUGUCAAUCAGUUAAACUUGUGACUUUUUCUGAUCAGUUAGGUCCCUCCGAACUGUCUGAUCAGUUUAUGUCCGAAGCGUGUCUGAUUGGUAAAGCAGUGCAAAUUCAAAUGAAGUACAAGUAUUUCUCGAAGAGAAGUUUUUAUUCCAUUGAUAAAUUGCAUAAAUUACAUAAAUGAAGGGGAAAAUAGACAUGCA
rnacentral:lncRNA from 1 species